rnacentral:tRNA from 1 species
CAGAAAAUAGUUUAUUUAAAAUAUUAAUUUUGGAGAUUAAUGAUAAGAGGAAAUCUUUUUUCUGA